AGAAUAAAUUUCAGAGAAAAGCUAAUGCAGUUCGGAAGAUGGAGAAGGAUGGUCGAGAAUAGAAAUGCGCGAAUAUUAUUGUCUUUGUGCUAGAUCGUAUCAAAUGUAAUAGUUUCUGCUUGGUUCAAAUAAACUAUAUGGCACAUGUAAAUAGAUGGAUAUUUUCUUUAUUUUUCUUGUAUGGAUCAAGUGUAAUGGUACUAUGGAGGUUAUGAAAAAUCUAGUGUUUUUGGUCA